GUCAGGAUGGCCGAGUGGUCUAAGGUGCUGUGUUCAGAUCGCAGUCUCUCCCAGAGGCGUGGGUUCAAAUCCCACUCCUGACA